rnacentral:rRNA from 1 species
AUUGAACGCUGGCGGCAUGCCUUACACAUGCAAGUCGAACGGUAACGGGCCUUCGGGUGCCGACGAGUGGCGCACGGGUGAGUAAUACAUCUGAACGUGCCCGAUCGUGGGGGAUAACGAGGCGAAAGCUUUUCUAAUACCGCAUACGAUCUACGGAUGAAAGCCGGGGACCGCAAGGCCUUGCGCGGACGGAGCGGCCGAUGGCAGAUUAGGUAGUUGGUGGGAUAAAAGCUUACCAAGCCGACGAUCUGUAGCUGGUCUGAGAGGAUGAUCAGCCACACUGGGACUGAGACACGGCCCAGACUCCUACGGGAGGCAGCAGUGGGGAAUUUUGGACAAUGGGCGCAAGCAUGAUCCAGCCAUGCCGCGUGCAGGAUGAAGGCCUUCGGGUUGUAAACUGCUUUUGUACGGAACGAAAAGCCUUCUUUUAAUACAGGAGGGUCAUGACGGUACCGUAAGAAUAAGCACCGGCUAACUACGUG